UCCAAAGAUUUCUAGUUGAAAUGCUUCCCUUUUGAGAAGUAUGUGUGUGAUGUUGUGAUGAGGAUAUUUUUGCUAGUGUUUGGGAAACAGACUUUUUACUGCUAGUAGAACUGAAUCUGUAAUGUAGAAAAUGGCAAUUAUUAAAAAUUUUAUUCCUACUGCCACAAGGAUAUUGAGUAGGCUUUACAAUAUUUAUUAGGCAACUCAACAAAUUGUUCUAAUUUACAUAUCUCUUAAAAAAUAACACAAAACAGCUGUUAUUUUAUUAAAUUUAAGUGCCUUGUUAAUCACACCAUACUAAAGUUUUCUGAAAGCAGCAAUUUAAGAGGGGGAAAAAUCAUCUUCUGAGAGGCAGAAGAUUAAUUUCUGCUCCAUAUCUAGCUGCUUUUCCAAACUUCAGAGUUCAGAUUUUGUUUUCCUGUCCCUUGGGAGGAGUUGCUCCUAACUGGUAGUGCUGUUGCUGAGAGAUUUGGUUCAUUAAUAUCUGAGAUAUAUAUGUGUGGAAAGAAGCAGAGUAUUAAAAGAAGAAUGUGUCUGUUAGGUCUGUGACAGAGGGUAGCACUUGACCUUAUUAAUUGGAUUUUUCCUGUGGGAUGAUAAGUAAAAAGCUGUAUCACUUUGUGAAAGAGUUAUGGGUCAGGUAUUUUUCACCUAUGCUUCGUCAAUAGAUUCCUCUUCCAGUUUAAGGUCAUUUUACCAUCAUUUCAAAUUUUUACUGCUGUUGUCUCUGCCUUAUGGGCUUUUUAACUGAAUGAGUGUUUUCAGGUUGACAUAAGGGCAGCUGUCUGCACUAAAGCCAGUACAGCAUUUGGGAAUGGGUGUGUGACCCUUUUAGCUGUUGCCUGUAAGCUCUAUCAAAGAAGUAAAGGUUUUGACCUAUAAAGCUAUUAAUGGCUAGUAGCAGAGGUUUUUUUGUGUGCCUGUGGGAAAUUUCUCCUUUUGUAUCUAAGAGAUGGAACAGCUGCCAGAGAAUUCCCUGCACCUCUGAAAUUCUCUUCUUCCCACUCCCUGAAAUAGCUGUAAUUUGCCAGUCCUACGAGGCACUUUUGUUUUCACCAGGCCUUUGAGGAAUCUGAAGGCAACUGUAAAUAAGCAAACCUAAGGCUUGUAAGAGAAACCACAACUGUAAUGUGCUACAAGAAGUGGUGAAGCUGAGAAUGGAAGAGGAGCAAGAGGAGCCUCAUUUUCAAGUUUCAGGGUGUAGAGAAAAUCCUCGGGUACUUGGAAAUGGGUUACAACCACUCUCUGGAGGAAAGGACAAGUUUUCUUUCCUGGACACAGCUAUGAUGAUUAGUUUAGUCCAGGAAUAUACCAUCAGGGCACAUUGGUCACAAAAUAAAAGAACUCACUGCAACAA